CAUAUUUUCUGAUAUCUGUCUCAUAUGUAUUUCCAUUUCUUGCAAAAAGCAGAGAUGGAAAUAUGCUAUUAAAAUUGUUUUUAAUUGUGAAAAAAAAAAAAGGCUAACAGUGGAGUUCAUUUUGCAGAGGAAGGUGACCAGGGGCGCAGAGCCCCUGGGUGGCUCCUCUGGGAACACAGCAUGGAUAUCAUUGACCAGAAGAAUACUCAGAAGCAGUGCGAGUGGUAGGAGGCUGCCAGUGGCAUCCCUACCUGGACUUCUUAGUUGGAUGAGUUGUGCUCCUUGCCCCUGAGUCCUCCUGGACGGUAGAGGGACAAGAGAGAGGCUCAGAGCUCUCCCAGCCUGGAUGUGGACGGAGAACAAGCAACGUGUGCUUUGGGUAAGGAAAUGCAGUGGAGGCCUAACUUCUGGGAGCAAGUGAAGCCAUUCCAGAGUCUGGCUCCAGGGAUGGACAGCUGAGGCUCUAGUGCACUGUGAGGCAGUGGAGAGAGUACUGGGCUGGCAGUCAAGGCUGGGGGUUAGGGGCUGGGAUUCUGGUUCCAGUUGCCAUGAACUGGCUGCAUAACCUUGAGGUUUGGUUCUCCUCCUCUGGGCUUUGGUCAUCUCUUUUUGGCAGAGUGGCCUGGGUGAGAUUUUU